rnacentral:rRNA from 1 species
GAUCAACGCUGGCGGCGCACAUAAGACAUGCAAGUUGAACGGACUUAAUCGAAAUAUUUAUAUUUUGAAGCGGUUAGCGGCGGACUGGUGAGUAACGCGUAAGGAACCUGCCUAUUAGAGGGGAAUAACAGUGAGAAAUCAUUGCUAAUACCGCAUAUGCCAUAGAUAUCACAUGAUAACAGUGGGAAAGGAGCAAUCCGCUAAUAGAUGGCCUUGCGUCUGAUUAGAUAGUUGGUGGGGUAACGGCCUACCAAGUCGACGAUCAGUAGCCGGACUGAGAGGUUGAACGGCCACAUUGGGACUGAGAUACGGCCCAGACUCCUACGGGAGGCAGCAGUCGGGAAUAUUGCGCAAUGGAGGAAACUCUGACGCAGUGACGCCGCGUAUAGGAAGAAGGUUUUCGGAUUGUAAACUAUUGUCGUUAGGGAAGAGAAAGGACAGUACCUAAGGAGGAAGCUCCGGCUAACUACGUG